AGAGCCAUCUACAGAGCUCUAAGAAACAGGGCUUGGAGCUCUGUAGAUGGCGCUGG
rnacentral:pre_miRNA from 1 species